ensembl:snoRNA SNORA74 Small nucleolar RNA SNORA74
UCCAGCAGUUGUCAGCUAUCUGGGCUACUGCGAUGCCUGUGAUUGUGUUACAUUGCUGGGAGAGCAAGCACUGUCUUCCUUGAGGUCCAGCGCCACAUGCUGUUUUAGUGUUGUGGCCUAGUGCCUUUGGGCAGUGUUUUGUACCUCUGAGAGUGGACUGGCUCCUGCUGUGGAGUUGGUCCUAGUCUGGGUACAAACAUU